AACGCGAAGAACCUUACCAGGUCUUGACAUCCCAUUGACCAUCAGAGUAACGUCUGACUUCCUUCGGGACAAUGGAGACAGGUGGUGCAUGGUUGUCGUCAGCUCGUGUCGUGAGAUGUUGGGUUAAGUCCCGCAACGGGCGCAACCCUUAUCUUUAGUAGCCAGCGGAUAGAGCCGGGCACUCUAGAGAGACUGCCGGGGAUAACCCGGAGGAAGGCGGGGAUGACGUCAAAUCAUCAUGCCCCUUAUGAUCUGGGCUACACACGUGCUACAAUGGCGGCCACAAAGAGAAGCAAACCCGCGAGGGGGAGCAAAUCCCAAAAAAGCCGCCCCAGUUCGGAUUGUAGUCUGCAACUCGACUACAUGAAGCUGGAAUCGCUAGUAAUCGCGAAUCAGAAUGUCGCGGUGAAUACGUUCCCGGGUCUUGUACACACCG
rnacentral:rRNA from 1 species